CUCCGGUUGAUCCCGCCGGACCCGACUGCUAUCGGAUUGAGAUUUAGCCAUGCGAGUCGAACGUUCCCCUGUUGCGGGGAGCGUGGCGUACGGCUCAGUAACACGUAGUCAACCUAACCUAUGGACGUGGAUAACCUCGGGAAACUGAGAAUAAACCGCGAUAGAUCAUUAUGCCUGGAAUGGCUUAUGGUUCAAACAAUUUAUUGCCGUAGGAUGGGACUGCGGCCUAUCAGCUUGUUGGUGAGGUAAUGGCCCACCAAGGCUAUAACAGGUACGGGCUCUGAGAGGAGAAGCCCGGAGAUGGGUACUGAGACACGGACCCAGGCCCUAUGGGGCGCAGCAGGCGAGAAACCUUAGCAAUGUGCGAAAGCACGACUAGGUUAAUCCGAGUGAUUUCUGUUGAAGAAAUCUUUUGUCAGUCGUAAAACCACAGACGAAUAAGGGGUGGGCAAGUCUGGUGUCAGCCGCCGCGGUAAUACCAGCACCUCGAGUGGUCAGGAGGUUUAUUGGGCCUAAAGCAUCCGUAGCCGGCUACGCAAGUCUCCGGUUAAAUCCAGCUGCUCAACAGAUGGGCUGCCGGAGAUACUACAUAGCUAGGGAGCGGGAGAGGUAGACGGUAUUCUGUGGGUAGGGGUAAAAUCCACUGAUCCAUAGAGGACCACCAGUGGCGAAGGCGGUCUACCAGAACGCGUUCGACGGUGAGGGAUGAAAGCUGGGGGAGCGAACCGGAUUAGAUACCCGGGUAGUCCCAGCUGUAAACGAUGCAAACUCGGUGAUGCAUUGGCUUAUGGCCAAUGCAGUGCCGCAGGGAGGCCGUUAAGUUUGCCGCCUGGGAAGUACGGACGCAAGUCUGAAACUUAAAGGAAUUGGCGGGGGAAGCA
rnacentral:rRNA from 1 species